rnacentral:rRNA from 1 species
UACGUAGGUGGCAAGCGUUAUCCGGAUUCAUUGGGCGUAAAGAGAACGCAGGCGAUCUUUUAAGUCUGAUGUGAAAGCCUUCGGCUUAACCGGAGUAGUGCAUUGGAAACUGGGAGACUUGAGUGCAGAAGAGGAGAGUGGAACUCCAUGUGUAGCGGUGAAAUGCGUAGAUAUAUGGAAGAACACCAGUGGCGAAAGCGGCUCUCUGGUCUGUAACUGACGCUGAGGUUCGAAAGCGUGGGUAGCAAACAGG